rnacentral:rRNA from 1 species
UACGGGGGGGGGCAAGCGUUGUCCGGAUUUACUGGGCGUAAAGAGCGCGCAGGCGGUCGUUCAAGUCGCGUGUGAAAGCCCCCGGCUCAACUGGGGAGGGUCACGCGAUACUGAUCGACUCGAAGGCAGGAGAGGGUAGUGGAAUUCCCGGUGUAGUGGUGAAAUGCGUAGAUAUGUGGAGGAAUACCGAUGGCGAAGGCAGCCCCCUGGGAUAACACUGACGCUCAUGCACGAAAGCGUGGGGAGCAAACAGG